rfam:Capsicum annuum cultivar Zunla-1 chromosome 12, whole genome shotgun sequence
AUGCCAUGAUGUGGACAUUUUCUUAACAUUGCUUUUAAUCUUUCCCCAGCCUGAUAAACUGAUUCAGUUUCAGUCUACAAGAAAUUAGAAAUCUCUAGUCUUAACUU